GACGAACGCUGGCGGCGUGCUUAACACAUGCAAGUCGAACGGAAAGGCCCUGCUUUUGUGGGGUGCUCGAGUGGCGAACGGGUGAGUAACACGUGAGUAACCUGCCCUUGACUUUGGGAUAACUUCAGGUAACUGGGGCUAAUACCGGAUAGGAGCUCCUGCUGCAUGGUGGGGGUUGGAAAGUUUCGGCGGUUGGGGAUGGACUCCCGGCUUAUCAGCUUGUUGGUGGGGUAGGGGCUUACCAAGGCUUUGACGGGUAGCCGGCCUGAGAGGUAGGCCGGCCGCAAUGGGACUGAGAUACAGACCAGACGCCAACGUGAGGCAGCAAUUGGGAAUAUUGCACAAUGGGCGGACGCAUGAUGGAAGAAAUGAGCGUGCGGGAUGGCGGCCUUCUGGUUGUAAACCGCUUUCGCCUGUGCCGAAGCGUGAGAGACGGUAAAGGGUAAAGAAGAACCGGCUAACUACGUG
rnacentral:rRNA from 1 species